CACCGCCCGUCACACCAUGGGAGUUUGUUGCACCAGAAGCAGGUAGCUUAACCGCAAGGAGGGCGCUUGCCACGGUGUAGCCGAUGACUGGGGUG
rnacentral:rRNA from 1 species